rnacentral:rRNA from 1 species
UACGUAGGUGGCAAGCGUUGUCCGGAAUUACUGGGUGUAAAGGGAGCGCAGGCGGGAAGCCAAGUCAGCUGUGAAAACUACGGGCUUAACUUGUAGACUGUAGUUGAAACUGGUUUUCUUGAGUGAAGUAGAGGUUGGCGGAAUUCCGAGUGUAGCGGUGAAAUGCGUAGAUAUUCGGAGGAACACCGGUGGCGAAGGCGGCCAACUGGGCUUUAACUGACGCUGAGGCUCGAAAGUGUGGGGAGCAAACAGG